UGAAGAUGAGUUCGAUGAUGAUAAUGUUGAAGAGGAGAUGGAUGCAUAUGAAUCUCUUGACCUUGCUGUCCAGGAAGGGAAUGUCUCUCUACAUGAUGAUCCACAUACAAACCACGAUAAUGUUUCAAGAGAUUACUUGCAAGAGCUUUUUGGCAAUUUUCCAUCAAAUACAGCCGGGAUGGAUGAAGUGCAAGAUGAUCAAAGUCUUGGAGAAUAUCAGAUAUAUGACCAAUACAACGAUGACUCUUAUUCCGAAGAUGAAGACUACUAAAACAUCAUGCUAAUUAGUGAUGGAGUGAAGAACUGCUGCUGCAGAAAAGGGUGGGAAUGAAGCAUUUACCUGACCUCAAGCCUACAGGGAAAAAGCUUAGUGUUGUCAGUAUUUCCCCCUAAACUUGUUCUGGAAAAUCACUAGGCACAUUUUAACUUUACGAGCAUCCUAUUACUCUGAACUUAUAUUAAGACAACCCCGCGACCCUAAGCUGCCAUUUGGGGAAGGUUGUGAACACCUCCAGUUAGGAGCGUGAAGGCUGCGUAGAACUAACAGAAUGAAUAUUUUCGAUUAGAAGCUCACCUGUCCCAAGUGUAGAGGUGUUUUUAGUACUAUGAAUAGUUUUGGAGACGAAAGUAAUAGUUUGCGUCAAAUUUGAAGGUGUUUUUACCUUCUCUUUAUUUAAUCUUCUCUUAAAUUUGGAUGCAAG
rnacentral:misc_RNA from 1 species